rnacentral:misc_RNA from 1 species
GAUGAAGAACGUAGCGAAAUGCGAUACUUGGUGUGAAUUGCAGAAUCCCGUGAACCAUCGAGUCUUUGAACGCAAGUUGCGCCCGAAGCCAUUAGGCCGAGGGCACGCCUGCCUGGGCGUCACACGUCGUUGCCCCCCCAUCUACUCCUUCGGGAUUGCGGGGGGCGGAUGAUGGCCUCUCGUGCGCCUCGUCGCGCGGUUGGCCUAAAUGCCAAGUCCUCGGCGACGCACGCCACGACAAUCGGUGGUUGCGAAACCUCGGUUGCCUGUCGUGUGCGGUCGUCGCGCAUCGAGGGCUCGAAAAAAUUGCCGGGCUUCGGCUCGACUUUCAACGCGACCCCAGGUCAGGCGGGGUUACCCGCUGAAUUUAAGCAUAUCAAUAGCGGAGGA